rnacentral:rRNA from 1 species
CAUAGGUUAAUGAGGCGAACCGGGGGAACUGAAACAUCUAAGUACCCCGAGGAAAAGAAAUCAACCGAGAUUCCCCCAGUAGCGGCGAGCGAACGGGGAGCAGCCCAGAGCCUGAAUCAGUAUGUGUGUUAGUGGAAGCGUCUGGAAAGGCGCGCGAUACAGGGUGACAGCCCCGUACACAAAAAUGCACAUGCUGUGAGCUCGAUGAGUAGGGCGGGACACGUGGUAUCCUGUCUGAAUAUGGGGGGACCAUCCUCCAAGGCUAAAUACUCCUGACUGACCGAUAGUGAACCAGUACCGUGAGGGAAAGGCGAAAAGAACCCCGGCGAGGGGAGUGAAAAAGAACCUGAAACCGUGUACGUACAAGCAGUGGGAGCACGCUUAGGCGUGUGACUGCGUACCUUUUGUAUAAUGGGUCAGCGACUUAUAUUCUGUAGCAAGGUUAACCGAAUAGGGGAGCCGAAGGGAAACCGAGUCUUAACUGGGCGUUAAGUUGCAGGGUAUAGACCCGAAACCCGGUGAUCUAGCCAUGGGCAGGUUGAAGGUUGGGUAACACUAACUGGAGGACCGAACCGACUAAUGUUGAAAAAUUAGCGGAUGACUUGUGGCUGGGGGUGAAAGGCCAAUCAAACCGGGAGAUAGCUGGUUCUCCCCGAAAGCUAUUUAGGUAGCGCCUCGUGAAUUCAUCUCCGGGGGUAGAGCACUGUUUCGGCAAGGGGGUCAUCCCGACUUACCAACCCGAUGCAAACUGCGAAUACCGGAGAAUGUUAUCACGGGAGACACACGGCGGGUGCUAACGUCCGUCGUGAAGAGGGAAACAACCCAGACCGCCAGCUAAGGUCCCAAAGUCAUGGUUAAGUGGGAAACGAUGUGGGAAGGCCCAGACAGCCAGGAUGUUGGCUUAGAAGCAGCCAUCAUUUAAAGAAAGCGUAAUAGCUCACUGGUCGAGUCGGCCUGCGCGGAAGAUGUAACGGGGCUAAACCAUGCACCGAAGCUGCGGCAGCGACGCUGAUGCGUUGUUGGGUAGGGGAGCGUUCUGUAAGCCUG